UGUGAGUGCACGCUAGCUAGCCUCCCACGUUGGCUAGUCUAGAAGAAACCAGCUGCGUCGCUGGCACUUUUCUAGUCUGGACUCGUCGCCUCGCAGAGCUUAUCUCCUCAGCUUCUUUCCAGUAAUCCACAUCCCCGACCUCUACCUACUACCCAAGUAGCACGACCUCCCCGCAUCUCCCCGCCGCCGCUACCUCUUACGCCCGCCGCCGGCACUUCGCCGGAUCUCCUGCACCACCGGGCAUGGCGCGGGCUCCACCCCAGCUCCCCCGACACUCCACCGGAUCUCCCGCACCACUACCGGGCCAUCCAUGGCGCAGGCUCCAACACCCGCUCCCCCCGUUUCCCCGGCCAUGGCGCGGGCAGUUGGGCGUAGGCGACCAUGCUCAUCCCAGCACCGGCCGUCUCGGUGCGCGUCCCGGUUUUCGUAUUUAGAUUGCUCUCUCCCCUCCUUGGCUAGGCAUCCAGUGCUGCUUUUUCUCUGGGAUGCGCUUUCUCCUCUUUGUUUGUUUGUGACAGCUGAGCCGUCUCUUCCGGGAGGUCGCGCAUCGGAAGAAGGCCGUCUCCCCCAAAAAGAAGUACCCGUGGCCUACCCUCGUCCCCGCUAUCCGCCGCCGACCGUACCUGGAUGGAUGCCUCCUCGAGGCCAAGCUUGCGCGUGGCUGCGGCAAUCCGGCUUUCUUGGUGUCAUACUCUAUCCACCAAAUGCGCAUUGGCGGUUGUGCAUUACGGCCUCUGCUUCCCUUCGUCGCGCCUGAUGCUUCCCAAGGCGCCCGCGCCCUCAAGCUCCAGCACCAGCCCCACAUUCCCGCAUCGCGCUGCAGCCCGCGUUCCUCUGCUCCGACCGCGCCCUCGCGCCUGACACCCGCGAUAGCGACUCCUCCGGCCCUCGCCACACCGGCGACCACCAAGAACCCUGUCACCUCCUUGCCUCCGCUUAGUGCAUGUCGCCAGGAGCGCCACCACCAUACUUCCUCCUGACGACUGCGGCAAGCAGCAGCGCCUUUCUUGGCUUCUGCGGCGUGGACGCCGGCGCUAAGUGACAGCGUGUACCCAUCGGUGGAGGCUGCGAAUGGAUAAGAGCCGGUACAAAAUAAGGAUUGGGGACUGCGGGCUGAAUUCCAACUAAUGCAGGGUUGUUUUGCAAAAACAAAACAUUUUUCCAGAGCGCCACUUAAACAGGGACUGUGGGUUGAUGUCAAAGAAACUCAGGGGCUUUUUCACAAAAACACCGACGACGUACGACCAGAAGCAGUAUUUGCUUUAUUAGUAGAAAAAAGAUUUGCAUUUCUAGUUUUGUGAUUCUAAAAUCCUAAGCAACUCAAGGACCAAGAGAGAGAGUUGGGGAUUUUAUUAUUUUUCAUAUUUGAAUUUUCUCAAAUA